GCAGUCGAGCGGACAGAUGGGAGCUUGCUCCCUGAUGUUAGCGGCGGACGGGUGAGUAACACGUGGGUAACCUGCCUGUAAGACUGGGAUAACUCCGGGAAACCGGGGCUAAUACCGGAUGCUUGUUUGAACCGCAUGGUUCAAACAUAAAAGGUGGCUUCGGCUACCACUUACAGAUGGACCCGCGGCGCAUUAGCUAGUUGGUGAGGUAACGGCUCACCAAGGCAACGAUGCGUAGCCGACCUGAGAGGGUGAUCGGCCACACUGGGACUGAGACACGGCCCAGACUCCUACGGGAGGCAGCAGUAGGGAAUCUUCCGCAAUGGACGAAAGUCUGACGGAGCAACGCCGCGUGAGUGAUGAAGGUUUUCGGAUCGUAAAGCUCUGUUGUUAGGGAAGAACAAGUACCGUUCGAAUAGGGCGGUACCUUGACGGUACCUAACCAGAAAGCCACGGCUAACUACGUGCCAGCAGCCGCGGUAAUACGUAGGUGGCAAGCGUUGUCCGGAAUUAUUGGGCGUAAAGGGCUCGCAGGCGGUUCCUUAAGUCUGAUGUGAAAGCCCCCGGCUCAACCGGGGAGGGUCAUUGGAAACUGGGGAACUUGAGUGCAGAAGAGGAGAGUGGAAUUCCACGUGUAGCGGUGAAAUGCGUAGAGAUGUGGAGGAACACCAGUGGCGAAGGCGACUCUCUGGUCUGUAAC
rnacentral:rRNA from 2 species